UCUUUAUAAAAAAGAAAGAUGAGUGUUGCUGAGUAAGUAGUGUCUGUGGCCGCGCUCGACACUGCCAACGACUUUAAAGGUAAAUUGAGACUGACUGCUCUACAAAUCACUUUUCAUCCUAAAUAACUACUCAACAUUUUGUUUCAGUCAGUCAUAAUUUACCCAUGAAACAUCACGUGUUUGACGCUCUCGAACACAGCUGUCACGCACAUGCGCAAACGAUGGUCUAAUACAAUUGCAAUUUGAUGAAGCAUUGCAUCACCCUUCAAUUUUAAACAAGGACCAAGCGGGCAAAUAUGUAAAUUACGAUGUUAUAUAUUUGACAGAAAUGGGCUAAUAUAUCUGGUCUCUGAGCCAGGGUGGCGAAAGGGGUUACAUUCACAUCGCUUGGAUUGAGCAUAUGAGGGCUAAAUGUUAAAGCAAUUGCCACCUACCUAAACAAUUUCAUUAGAUACCGAAUGUAAGUAACGUCUUAAUUCAAUGGUUCGUUGGUUUGAUUUUUACAGUAGACGACACUGUAGCAUAUGGCAGGCUUGUAGGCCUAACUAAUCUCGUGUGCGUUAACAGGAUUGGUCCAGUUUUAUUCUAGUGAAGGCACCAGACUAAGGGCUAAGGCACACCACAAACUGAAAACAGAAACGGGAAAGACUGGCUGAAUGUUACUCUGGGCGGGUGUGUGAAGAUAUUGUUCUUACUGGCAGUGUCAGGGACCGCCUCUUUCUGUCUGCCCUUCAAAACGUGCCCUCCAUAACCAGUUGUGAUGAGCAGACCAUAAAACCUGAGUCAGUCCCUACGAUGGGAAUCAGUUCUACACAGGCGUGAAUAAUGCAGAGAAGUCUGUGUGGGUGAACUUCUUCUUCUGGGUGCUGAUCGUGGCGGUGGUGUUUGUCCAGAAACGUCAGGGUCAGAAUGGAGUACGUCUGAAACAGAACCCUUCUUCCACCGACCUGUCUGACCCCACUGACCUAACCUAUAGCCCGAUGGGUGCCAUUAUGUGUCUUUGGAUCUAGUUCCCUGCAUGCAAGAACCUACUAUUGGCCCAAGAUCAAAUAACAGGGGCUUGUAAAACAGGAUGUUUCGGUCAUCAAUGGGGCAACCUAACUACAACAUGUUUUCACUAUGGAAUAGUGGGAAAUACAAUUAACUUUGGAAGUAACCUCUUCCAUUUUUGUAUACUUAAAUCAAUUAGUUACACAAUUCAGUCCCUUCCUGAUAUAUAGGAUGAUCUGUUCAAAUUAUACUGUACUGAUAUGUACGUCUGUGAAAGACAAAACAUUUCCCGUGAAGUGUAUAUUCUACAUAUAUAUAUAUAUAUAAAUAUAUAUAUAUAUACACACACAUUUUUAAAAAAUUGUCUUAAUCUUUAUUUGAUUAUUAUUAAUUAAGUACAGAUUAUUACUAGUUAUUUUCUAGUAUUGAAUGAGUUACAAUUUUACAUUUUAUGAGAAAAAAAA